rnacentral:rRNA from 1 species
UACAGAGGUCUCAAGCGUUGUUCGGAUUCAUUGGGCGUAAAGGGUGCGUAGGUGGCGGGGCAAGUUUGGUGUGAAAUCCCGGGCUCAACCCCGGAACUGCACUGAAUACUGCCUUGCUAGAGCACUGGAGAGGGAACUGGAAUUUACGGUGUAGCAGUGAAAUGCGUAGAUAUCGUAAGGAAGACCAGUGGCGAAGGCGAGUUCCUGGACAGUUGCUGACACUGAGGCACGAAGGCUAGGGGAGCAAACGGG